AGUAGUGGAUAUAAUGGUCAUCUGAAUUAAAUUAGCCAUUCCCAUCCAUUUCAGUUCACUGAUUCCUAAGAUGUCGGUGUUGCCAUCUCCUGAUAGACCACGUCCAGUUUACCUUGAUUCAUGAACCUAACAUUCCAGGUUCCUAUGCAACGUUGUUCUUUACAGCGUCAGACGUUACCUUCACCACCAGACACAGCUGAGCAUGGUUUCCAUUUUUGUCACAGUCACUUCAUUCUUUCUGGAGCUAGUAGUAAUUGACCUCCACUUUUCUGCAGUAGCAUAUUGAACACCACCUGACCUGUGGGGCUCAUCUGGUGUCAUAUCUUUUUGCCUUUUCAUAGCAUUCACAGGCAAGAAUACUGGAGUGGUUUGCCAUUUCCCCCUCCAGUGGACCGUGUUUUGUCAGAACUCUUCCCUAUGACCGUCUUGGGUGGCCCUGCAUGGCAUGGCUCAUAGUUUCAUUGAGUUACGCAAGCCCCUUCACCACAACAAGGAUCCAUGAAGGGAAUGAAAACUCUGCAGCUCAUCAAAACAGGGUUGUGGUGAUGGCCACAGAACACUGACUUCAGACAGAUGUCCUAUCCACAUUCUCUUCCAUACAGUGGUCAUGUAUGGACGUGAGAGUUGGACCAUAAAGAAAGCUGAGUGCCGA